ACGAACGCUGGCGGCGUGCCUAAUACAUGCAAGUCGAACGCUUCUUUCCUCCCGAGUGCUUGCACUCAAUUGGAAAGAGGAGUGGCGGACGGGUGAGUAACACGUGGGUAACCUACCCAUCAGAGGGGGAUAACACUUGGAAACAGGUGCUAAUACCGCAUAACAGUUUAUGCCGCAUGGCAUAAGAGUGAAAGGCGCUUUCGGGUGUCGCUGAUGGAUGGACCCGCGGUGCAUUAGCUAGUUGGUGAGGUAACGGCUCACCAAGGCCACGAUGCAUAGCCGACCUGAGAGGGUGAUCGGCCACACUGGGACUGAGACACGGCCCAGACUCCUACGGGAGGCAGCAGUAGGGAAUCUUCGGCAAAGGACGAAAGUCUGACCGAGCAACGCCGCGUGAGUGAAGAAGGUUUUCGGAUCGUAAAACUCUGUUGUUAGAGAAGAACAAGGACGUUAGUAACUGAACGUCCCCUGACGGUAUCUAACCAGAAAGCCACGGCUAACUACGUG
rnacentral:rRNA from 1 species